UACAGAGGGUGCGAGCGUUGUCCGGAAUCACUGGGCGUAAAGGGCGCGUAGGCGGCCUGAUAAGUAGGGGGUGAAAUCCUGUGGCUUAACUGCAGGGCUGCCUCCUAGACUGUUAGGCUCGAGCACGGUAGAGGCAGAUGGAAUUCCCGGUGUAGCGGUGGAAUGCGUAGAGAUCGGGAAGAACAUCGGUGGCGAAGGCGGGUCUCUGGGCCGAUAUUGACGCUGAGGAGCGAAAGCGUGGGGAGCAAACAGG
rnacentral:rRNA from 1 species